GCUUCCCUAAAGUAUCUAAAAAUUUUGAUCAAAUAUAAAAAUUUAUUGUAUCAAGUAUUUAUGAUAAUUUGAAUCAAGAAAAAAUGACUUCCACCAAAAAUAGAAUUUCAAGAUAAAUUUUUACUCCGGCCAACAAAACUUCGGUCUUUCUUCAAGCAUUCAACAAUUUUUUUGAGCCAAGAAUUUUGUUCCCCUGCCAAUAAAUUUUUCUUUCUAUGCGCUAUUUAAAAACUUAGAUCGCUUGAAAAACUUCUUAUUGUAAAGCAAAAAUCCUAAUUAGAGCAACUAGGGUAAAUGCAUCAGUUGUUGACCGGUUACCACACUGUAAAUCGAAGGGUUUUAAAAGUGACUACAAAUGGGCAUUUAACAUGGGAAAUUAAAACACAUGGAAGUGUUUAAAAGUGACUACAAUGCUUCAAGAUAGGAACAAAACACUUUAUAGGUGUUUUGUUAAAACACUUGGAUUUACAAUGAAGAAUUUAAGCUGUAUUCA